rnacentral:rRNA from 1 species
AUUGAACGCUGGCGGCAGGCCUAACACAUGCAAGUCGAACGAGUGGCGGACGGGUGAGUAAUGUCUGGGAAACUGCCUGAUGGAGGGGGAUCACUACUGGAAACGGUAGCUAAUACCGCAUACUAUGGGACGUGCACAGAUGGGAUUAGAUAGUAGGUGGGGUAACGGCUCACCUAGGCGAAGAUCCCUCGCUGGUCUGAGAGGAUGACCAGCCACACUGGAACUGAGACACGGUCCAGACUCCUACGGGAGGCAGCAGUGGGGAAUAUUGCACAAUGGGCGCAAGCCUGAUGCAGCCAUGCCGCGUGUAUGAAGAAGGCCGUCGGGUUGUAAAGUACUUUCAGUGGGGAGGCGUUACCCGCAGAAGAAGCACCGGCUAACUCCGUGCCAGCAGCCGCGGUAAUAC